rnacentral:rRNA from 1 species
UACGGAGGGGGCUAGCGUUGUUCGGAAUUACUGAGCGUAAAGCGCACGUAGGCGGGUCUUUAAGUCAGGGGUGAAAUCCUGGAGCUCAACUCCAGAACUGCCUUUGAUACUGAAGAUCUUGAGUUCGGGAGAGGUGAGUGGAACUGCGAGUGUAGAGGUGAAAUUCGUAGAUAUUCGCAAGAACACCAGUGGCGAAGGCGGCUCACUGGCCCGAUACUGACGCUGAGGCACGAAAGCGUGGGGAGCAAACAGG